AGGGUUUGAUUCUGGCUCAGGAUGAACGCUGGCGGCGUGCUUAACACAUGCAAGUCGAGCGAAGCGGUUUAAAUGAGACUUCGGUGGAUUUUAAACUGACUGAGCGGCGGACGGGUGAGUAACGCGUGGAUAACCUGCCUCACACAGGGGGAUAACAGUUAGAAAUGACUGCUAAUACCGCAUAAGCGCACGGCAUCGCAUGAUGCAGUGUGAAAAACUCCGGUGGUGUGAGAUGGAUCCGCGUCUGAUUAGGUAGUUGGUGGGGUAACGGCCCACCAAGCCGACGAUCAGUAGCCGACCUGAGAGGGUGACCGGCCACAUUGGGACUGAGACACGGCCCAA
rnacentral:rRNA from 1 species